rnacentral:misc_RNA from 1 species
GUGAGACUCAGCGCUCCAACCCUUGCGAACAUUACCCCAUUGCGGCGUUGCUUCGGCGGGCUUGCUGGCGGGGUGCGCCUCCGGAUCUUUCCGGGGCGUGCUUCGCCUGCAGUCCAGCCUGGCCAGCCAGGCCCCCGCCGGCAGCGUCAAACUCUUCGUUUUUAUAGUGGAAAAGUCUUCUGAGUGGCAAACAUACAAAUAAGCA